UGAAGUAAUUUUGUCCUGCAAUCCCGUUGCUGCUCUAAUUGUGUAAAGUAAGCAAGGAUACGGUUGAUUCCCGCAGUGUCCGGUAGAUGGAGCUAAAGUUCAUGAUGAAAUCAUCGCUGUUAAUGUGGGAGAACGAGAAACGUUUUUUUUUUUUCUGACGUGAUACACUGCAGUUACAGAUUACAGCUGAAAAGCAUAUUGUUACUGCUGUCGGAGCUGCCGUAAUUAUAAGAAUCUGUGCUAACAAUAUAGCACUAUUUAAAUCUUCAUUUUCCUUUGUUGAUAAAGCUCUAGCCUUAACUUGACUUUCCAGUUAAUUCAGAUAUAAUUUUUGGAAAUUUUACACUAUUAUCUUUUUACACUAUUUAUCUUUGGUCCAGAAACAAAAUUAAAUAACUGAUGGUAAAUGAGUCUAGUUGAAAUGGAAAGACUGAAUGUUGAAAAGUUACAUGAAAUAUUUUGCUCUCAAAUUGGUUGAAAUCUGCUCUUAUUUCAACUACAGUAAAUAUAGUUAACAAGGUAAAUCUGCAUAAUUUGGAUAUGUAAAUUCGGCAAUGUGAAAUGCUUCUUUACAUGUCAGUAUUCGGACUGUAGCAUGAGAGCACUGAGGUCCCAUAACCGCCAUGAUUCCGGGAUGUUAUGUCUUCUCUGAGAUAUCCCCCCACACCCUCAUAAAAAUGCUGGAUUUUAAAGUUUAAAUGUGCACCUGGUAAGAGGGGGAAGCGCCCUGGGGAUUAACUCUCCGCCCUCAGGCUCCGGCUGGCCGGUCCGGCCUCAGGGUCUGGCUGGUUGGACUCGCUGUCUAACACAGUCCCUUUGGCAAGCGGGGUAGGCUUUGCUUUUUUCACAAUUAUAUAACUUUAUAAAAAUAUUCAGAACUGUGCACAAAUGAUAUAUUAUUAGUCAGAAAGUGUUUAAAGCUAUUUAUCUGGGUGAUAAAUUUAUAUUUGUUUAGAACAAAAACAUUAGAACAUGUGCAAAUUAUGAGUAACACAAUAAAAACUAACAGGAAAUUCUUCUCCAAAAAUUACUGAUAUCUUUUUGGACGGUCACCUGAACACCAUUUCGGUUCCAAAACUUUCCUCAGGGGCCAGCUCGAUUAAUUAAUUAAUUGAAUAAACUGAAAAGGUCAGUGAGGCAUUGAUUCAUCAUAAGAGGUGAGCUAGUGGUCGAGUGCAAAACAAACAUGGAUGUGUUAGAUGGUUACAGCAAAUACUGGGGCGACUUUAGGGGAGGCUGUGAAAUGACUAAGCUGACACACUUUGACAGAGAUAAAGUCAUAGUUUUACACCAACAUGAAGACCUUAAACAUGGUUUCUUUGCCUGUCUAAUUACAAUAAGAAAAUGAUGCAAACUUUGAUGUCUCCAAUCCUGUGGAUUAUUAUCGUUUGCCUUCAUGUUUCCUUCAGCGGCUCCGUCCUCCCAGGUGUCCCUGCUGCUGCUGCCGUCUGUUCCUGUGGCUUCACCUGAAGAUAGCAGCACAUCGAUCUGCCGGAUACUUCGCACUGCUGAAUGACAUCCACAAAUUCAGGCCAUUACUCUGGGAGGGGGGGAUUGUGCUCCUUGCGUGUCUCGGGAGGGGGUUGAGGCGACAAACGGGAGCCAUACCCAACACUGUCAGAAAAAAAGUACCAAUUUGUACCUUUGAGGGUGCAAUUACUUGUCAUUGAGGCUGUACCUGUAAGGUUCUGCGAGUUGGACUCUAGUUGUAGGUAAAUAUACCGUUUAAGUUACAGAAAUGGACUCUGAAGUACAUUUAUGUACCACUGGGGGUACAUUAAUGUUGUUUGUACCUUGGGGUAUAAAACUACCAAGGCUGUACCCAUUUUUCUGACAGAAUGCCUGAGUGGCUAAUCAGGAGAAUUCCCAGUGAGCUACCCUGACUGGAGGCUGGUGACGGGGGUAUUGUAAUUAUCUUAUAACGCUUAAGCUUAGACAGUGGUUCUCAAACUGUGUGGCAUGCAUUACUGGGGGGGGGGGGGGGUUAGGCAUGAUCCAGGCUGAUUGUGGAACGAAAAUUAAUAUUGUGCACAGAAAAAUUUCCAUGGGGUGUGACAUUCCUGGGCUGAGUGUCAGUCCAGUCCAUUGGCGGAUGUCUGGCAGGAGGCUCAGAGGGAACAAAAACGUGGACUGGAUUGGGAGACGCUGCUCUAGAGGGAUCAAAAGCUCAAAGAUACACCCACAUUGUUUCAAUUCAUCCACAUAUUGAAGGAAGAAAAGGAUGAAGGACAAACCUAAGGCUUUUCAUGUAGGAGGAUUUCAUCAGAAGCUGAGACCAGACCUCGUUCUCCAAAGCCACAGGCUCCAGCUCAUUGUGGGAGACCCCAGACACCCUCAAACCUGCUGGAAGACUUAAUCUCUCUAGCGUGUUCUGGGUCUCCAAGGACUCUGCCCAGUGGGAGGUAUCUGGAACAGCAUCCUUGGGAUCCGAUUGGGUAGCUUCGAUACAGGAUGCCCAGGCCACGUCAACUGACUCAUCUCCAACUGGAAAGGACUUCAGGACUUCUAACUCAGUCAAGGAAAGUGAGCUCAGGCCCCCGAUGGAGAAACCUCACGUCAGGCUGCCCGUUACCGUGACUUUCGUCUUUCGGUCAUGACCAUAGGUGAAGGGAGGGGUGUAGAUCGACCGGUAGGUAGAUCAUGAUCAUCGCUCGAUGACUCCCGUUUCAACACUUACAUACCUCUGUCACUAUGGGUGGACCAACUCCCCCAUAUGGAAGGAGCGAUCCACUGUGCUGCAAAAGUGCUGGAUGUCCUGGUCGAACCAUCUGCAAAAAAAGUCAACAACAACAAGAACACCAAUAAUAAUAAUAACAACAACAAUAAUAAUGAGAGUGAGCUGGCCAUGAAGGGCAGCCACCUGUUGCAGCAUUCAUGGAGCUGGGGGUUCAGGACUUUGCUGAAGGACCCAAGAUGUGCUGAAGCAAGGCUUGAACAGGUGACCUUCUGAUAACAGGCACAGAGGCUCAGCCCACUGAGCAAUAUGCCGCCCCACUGGGGUUAAUUGGAGUUACCAAAUUGACAGUAGGUGUGCAUGUGUGAGUGAAUAGUGUGUGUGUGCCCAGUGAUGUAAUGACACAGUAGCCUUCCUUGGCCUUAUGAACUUCCUUAUGAAAGUCUCUGCCCCUCCUCUUUAGUUUUCAGUAUUUAUGUGACACCUAUAAUAAUAGAUAAUUAAUGCUGAUAAUUAAUAAUAAUUAAUGUCUCAAGGAGAGGCCACAUGUCAUAAUGCAAUCUUACGGUAGCAGAAAUUUCAUAAUAAAGUUGUUUCUCUGCCGUGGAA